rnacentral:tRNA from 1 species
GACACUGUGGCGGAGUGGUUAACGCGGUGCCCUGCUACCUCCUUAAGUAGGCAUUGCCUUCGGCGCGCAGGUUCGAAUCCUGCCGGUGUCG